GGUAGAAUGGCUGAGUUUAAAGGCGAUAAAUUGUAAAUUUAUUUACGAGAGUUAAUCUCUUUUACCA
rnacentral:tRNA from 1 species